GGGGUCAUCGUCCAGCUUGGUCAAAGAUGCCAGCCUGGGGCGCUGGUGAGCGUGGGUUCAAAUCCCACUGGCCCCA
rnacentral:tRNA from 1 species